rnacentral:rRNA from 1 species
GACGUAGGGCGCGAGCGUUGUCCGGAUUUAUUGGGCGUAAAGAGCUCGUAGGCGGCUUGUCGCGUCGACCGUGAAAACUUGGGGCUCAACCCCAAGCCUGCGGUCGAUACGGGCAGGCUAGAGUUCGGUAGGGGAGACUGGAAUUCCUGGUGUAGCGGUGAAAUGCGCAGAUAUCAGGAGGAACACCGGUGGCGAAGGCAGCACUCUGGGACGGUACUGACGCUGAGACGCGAAAGCGUGGGGAGCAAACAGG